rnacentral:rRNA from 1 species
ACGGGUGAGUAACACGUGGGUAACCUACCUAUAAGAGUGGGAUAACUUCGGGAAACCGGAGCUAAUACCGGAUAACAUUUAGAACCGCAUGGUUCUAAAGUGAAAGAUGGUUUUGCUAUCACUUAUAGAUGGACCCGCGCCGUAUUAGCUAGUUGGUAAGGUAACGGCUUACCAAGGCGACGAUACGUAGCCGACCUGAGAGGGUGAUCGGCCACACUGGAACUGAGACACGGUCCAGACUCCUACGGGAGGCAGCAGUAGGGAAUCUUCCGCAAUGGGCGAAAGCCUGACGGAGCAACGCCGCGUGAGUGAUGAAGGGUUUCGGCUCGUAAAACUCUGUUAUUAGGGAAGAACAAAUGUGUAAGUAACUGUGCGCAUCUUGACGCUACCUAAUCACAAAGCCACGGCUAACUACGUGCCAGCAGCCGCGGUAAUACGUAUGUGUCAAGCGUUAUCCGGAAUUAUUGGGCGUAAAGCGCGCGUAAACGGUUUCUUAAGUCUGAUGUGAAAGCCCACGGCUCACCCGUGGAGGGUCAUUGUUGAACUGGGGGACUUUAGUG